UUCUUUUAGUAAAUUUUUAAAAGUAUAUUCUGCCCUAUGAUAAUUUAAAUGGCUGCAGUAUUUUGACUGUGCAAAGGUAGCAUAAUAAUUAGUUAAUUAAUUGUUAACUGGAAUGAAUGGAUGAAUGAGAAAUUUAUUUUAUUUAUUUUAUUUUUAGAAUUUUAUUUUUAAGUAAAAAAGCUUAAAUUAUUUUUUUGGGACGAUAAGACCCUAAAGAAGUUUAUUAAAAUAUUUUAUAUUUAUUUUUGGAUAAUAAUUUUUAAUUUAAUUUGUUUUUUUUUAAUUGGGGUGAUUAAUAAGUAUAUCUUUAUUUUUUUAUAUCAUUAGUUUAUGAUUUUUUUGAUCCUUAAUAAGAUUAUAAGAUUAAGUUACCUUAGGGAUAACAGCGUAAUUUCAAUGGGGAGUUCAUAUUUAUAUUGAAGUUUGCGACCUCGAUGUUGAAUUAAGGUUAUUAAGAGGGGUAGGUUUUUCUUUUAUAAGUCUGUUCGACUUUUAAAUUCUU
rnacentral:rRNA from 1 species